AAUAGAGGAGACAGAGGAAAAAAAAAUCACUGCACUGACAACUAUAACUAGAGAAAUCACCCAGACUGAAAAACAGAGAGAAAAUAAAUGGAAAAAAAUGAAUGGAGCUUCAGGGACCUGUGAGACUAUCACAGGGUCCAGUGUUUGUGUCAUCGAACUUGCAGAAGGAGAAGAGAAAGAAGACAAGGCUGAAAAGGUAUUCAAAGAAAUAAUGGCUGAAAGUUUCCCAAAUGUUCAGAGUUUUUAGUUGUCCUUACUGGGAGGAAUAGGGAGAAGCGUGUCUGCUCUAUCUUCCUGAAAGCUAAAGAACCAAGCACUGCUGGAUGGGGACCCAGGGUCUCCAAGCUGAGAAGAACACUGAUAAGGCAUGCACGGAAGCAGUCCUGGGAGGACUCUGCCACAGGCACAAACACCACUGGACACCCAAAGUCAUACUGCUGGGCGCUGGAGUCCAUUGCUUCUUCUGAGAAGAAUCGCUAACUUUUCUCGGGUCUUUGUACCUUUAGCCCCUGAUUCAAAGUCUUAGGGAGGCUCACCUAAGUGGCCAGUCGCAGGGAGUGUGCCCAGCCCUGCCUGUCAGCAGGUGUGGAAAGGAAAUGUACAGCAUUCUGCAGCAUCCCUGGUGGAAGCUGGAGCCUGUCUUCCAUUAAGCCGUACUCACUGUGGGAUUCCUCAAUUUGUCCAAUUAGGAGCACUCAGCCCCAUGAAAUGAUCUUAAUGACUCCACAAGAAAUAAAUGCUGAAGAAAAAUGGACUCCAGCCUCCUAGGCCCAGGAUUUCUUGAUGUUUCUUUGGUGUUUGGGAGGACACUGUAUUUCUGCAGCUUCAGGAUGGCUUAUGUACUCUCUGGCCUGUAUUUGUUCCUAGCACCCCUGGUUUGAGUUUACCAGAAGCCAGUGUGAGAUUCAGGGGCCAAUGUGUACUAUCAGCGACAAAUAUUGGUUAUCAGGUGAGAGGUCCUGUCUAAAGUGAAGCUGUGCUUGGAGCUCAGAUACUGACUCCAUGUGAAUGCAAUGGAUCUUGUGUGUUAGGAGGACAAGACUCCUGGAAUAGAAAUUCAGUGAGACCUCACACCAGAGCUCUAGGCAGGGGUGGAAAAGCCCCAGGCAAGGAGCUGGGCUAUAAACAAUUCUUGAUCCUUCUGUUCAGAGUGUGCAAAAUUUGCAUGGUGUUACCCCAUGCAGAGACAACUUGGGUUGUGUGCCAAUGGACGUUUCAGGGCACUUCUCAAAGGAGGGAGCUAAGCUGAGGGGCUUGGCAGGGGGCAGACUCCACAAUAAAAGGCUUAUUGGAUGUCUGUGAGGGUACACUCAAGACAGGAGAGAGUCAGCAGGCCCAGCUGAGAAAAUUCAAUCUCAACCUUCUCUAAAGACAUUCUCUGAAGACACAUGCUUUAUUUUCCACUCAUUCUUUCCUGAUCUGAGCUGGCCCUACACUCAUAUUAUAUCCAUCAUUGUCUUUGGCUUCUAAGGAUGUGCUGAUUGCCCUAUAGAUUGACAUACAAAGUUCAGAACGAUAAAAAUGGAAAGGCAUUAUAG
rnacentral:lncRNA from 10 species